GCUCCCUGAUUCAGCGGCGGACGGGUGAGUAAUGCCUAGGAAUCUGCCUGGUAGUGGGGGACAACGUUUCGAAAGGAACGCUAAUACCGCAUACGUCCUACGGGAGAAAGCAGGGGACCUUCGGGCCUUGCGCUAUCAGAUGAGCCUAGGUCGGAUUAGCUAGUUGGUGAGGUAAUGGCUCACGAAGGCUGCGAUCCGUAACUGGUCUGAGAGGAUGAUCAGUCACACUGGAACUGAGACACGGUCCAGACUCCUACGGGAGGCAGCAGUGGGGAAUAUUGGACAAUGGGCGAAAGCCUGAUCCAGCCAUGCCGCGUGUGUGAAGAAGGUCUUCGGAUUGUAAAGCACUUUAAGUUGGGAGUAAGAGCAGUAAGUUAAUACCUUGCUGUUUUGACGUUACCGACAGAAUAAGCACCGGCUAACUUCGUGCCAGCAGCCGCGGUAAUACGAAGGGUGCAAGCGUUAAUCGGAAUUACUGGGCGUAAAGCGCGCGUAGGUGGUUUGUUAAGUUGGAAGUGAAAGCCCCGGGCUCAACCUGGGAACUGCUUUCAAAACUGGCAAGCUAGAGUAUGGCAGAGGGUGGUGGAAUUUCCUGUGUAGCGGUGAAAUGCGUAGAUAUAGGAAGGAACACCAGUGGCGAAGGCGACCACCUGGGCUAAUACUGACACUGAGGUGCGAAAGC
rnacentral:rRNA from 2 species